GAUCAACAAAUGAUCAUGAAACAGAUACAGAAAUCUUAGGCCCAGACCUAAAAAAGGUUGUAGCGCCACUGAUUUCUUUUUCUGGUAUUGAAAACGUUUGAGUAUAAAAGAUGAAAGUAAUGGUAUAAUGCUAAAUUAGUAUCUACUUGUCAGAUAAGUGUAUCUGACAAGUAGAUACUAAUUAUCUCAAUUAAUACCAGCUACGCUACGUAUAUUAUAAAGUAGUGUGAUGCAGGAACUCUAUACUAUGUAAUUAUUAUUAGAUAUAUUUGAACUUAUCAUAGUUGGAUUUUCCACUUGAUAAGCGACGAGUUUUGGUUUAUUUGGUUAAAUUUUUUACAGUUGUUGCAAAUGUUAAAAUUCUACGCGAGGUUCGAAAUAAGUGACGAGACUGGAGAUCCCAUGACUGAUAAGGACAUGGCAUUGCAGCAUUACUCAAGGAUAACAUCGCUUCAGAUGAGAUUCGGCAGGAUAUAGAAGAUGCGGUUUAUCGUUUGGCACCGUGGCGUGCAGAAGCUGACAGCAUACUUCGGCGGUUGGGCGAGGAUGGCCCAUCCGAUACAGAGCUUUGCUGUGGUUGAAGUGGCCAAGCUGAGUAUCGGAACUCUUAGUCACUCUUAAACGAGAAAUCGAGCAAGAGUGGGAAAAUUAAAGGAAACACGAUGUCUGCUUCCUUGUUACUGUUAGACCUACUCGGAGUAUAGAUCUUCGGCUUGUGAUCAUGUCAGUAGCAAACCUGAGGUGACGCAAUCCUCAGCCAAUUUACUCUAAGCAAACUGCAUACUAAUUUCCUGAAAAAAGCAAUAAAUAA